GACGAACGCUGGCGGCGUGCUUAACACAUGCAAGUCGAACGGAAAGGCCUGCUUUCCCUUGUGGAUUGCGGGUACUCGAGUGGCGAACGGGUGAGUAACACGUGAGUGAUCUGCCCCCAACUUGGGUAUAAGCCUGGGAAACUGGGUCUAAUUCCCGAUAGGACUGCAGGGUGGUGCCUGUGGUGGCAAACGAUUUUCUAGUGGUUGGGGAUGAGCUCGCGGCCUAUCAGCUUGUUGGUGGGGUAAUGGCCUACCAAGGCGGCGACGGGUAGCCGGCCUGGGAGGGUGGACGGCCACAUUGGGACUGAGAUACGGCCCAGACUCCUACGGGAGGCAGCAGUGGGGAAUAUUGCACAAUGGGCGGAAGCCUGAUGCAGCGACGCCGCGUGGGGGAUGACGGCCUUCGGGUUGUAAACUCCUUUCGACCGCGAGGAAGCCACCUGGUUGGAAGGGUGGUGACGGUAGUGGUAGAAGAAGCACCGGCUAACUACGUG
rnacentral:rRNA from 1 species